rnacentral:lncRNA from 1 species
AGCCUCUGCUGCGGGGGUUGCCGGUGCCACUUCCCCUCUCCACAGCCGUGCGGUGCCCAGCUUAGCUCACGUUCACAGUUCUUUCAGCAGAUGUAGCCGUGGACAGCAGCCUGGUUACAGUGGGAUGUGCAGCUGGCCGACCCCCUCUAGCCAUCCUGCAAGUCACUGUGAACGCCCUCACGCUCCAACAGCAAAGCCACUGCUCAGAAAGAGGCUGGGCUCCUGCACACCUGCCAGCGAUGGCUACCCGUGUCCAUCCUGUUCACUGAAGGGGAGCGGCUCCUGGAGGGUGAAGCCGCUGUGGUUUGAGGGUGAAGCCACUGUCGUUUGAGCCCUCGGCCCGGACGCAGCUGAUGCACCAGCCACAGAAGCACGGAGGAGUCAAGAAUGGGAAGGACAGAAACGGUUCCUGACCUCGGGAGCUGGAGGUUGAGUGGGAACAGCCAUCGCUGGGUUUUUCCCAUAGAAGGAUGAAGACCGCUCUGACGGUGUGGCGCUCCCUCUAGUGGCUGAGAGUCGCUAACUCACCGGCGAGGCUUCCCAAGGCCGGAGGGCGGCUUCUCAAAAGUUUGUUCCAGAGAUGCCUCGUCACCCCUAACACCCUAGUAUACAAUCCAGGAGGCGAAAACUAUUUUGAUCAUACGGAUGAGACCGUGGCUGUAUUAAGAAUGUGUGUGUAAUCCACAGCGGUAUAACGAAAUUUGGAAUAUCUGCGUGACUCCAAACUACUAUUUUCCAAAUGACCGAUGCAUGAUGUUACAAAA